rnacentral:rRNA from 1 species
UACGUAGGGGGCCAGCGUUGCUCGGAAUUACUGGGCGUAAAGGGCUCGUAGGCGGCCAACUAAGUCAGACGUGAAAUCCCUCGGCUUAACCGGGGAACUGCGUCUGAUACUGGAUGGCUUGAGUGUGGGAGAGGAAUGCGGAAUUCCAGGUGUAGCGGUGAAAUGCGUAGAUAUCUGGAGGAACACCGGUGGCGAAGGCGGCAUUCUGGACCAUUACUGACGCUGAGGAGCGAAAGCCAGGGGAGCAAACGGG